rnacentral:rRNA from 1 species
AAGUCGUAACAAGGUUUCCGUAGGUGAACCUGCGGAAGGAUCAUUACAGAGUUCAUGCCCUCACGGGUAGAUCUCCCACCCUUGAAUAUUAUACCUUAGUUGCUUUGGCAGGCCGGGGCAACCCCCGGGGCUUCGGCCUCGGUGCGCCUGCCAGAGGAAACAAACUCUGUUUUUAGUGAUGUCUGAGUACUAUAUAAUAGUUAAAACUUUCAACAACGGGUCUCUUGGUUCUGGCAUCGAUGAAGAACGCAGCGAAAUGCGAUAAGUAAUGUGAAUUGCAGAAUUCAGUGAAUCAUCGAAUCUUUGAACGCACAUUGCGCCCCGUGGUAUUCCGCGGGGCAUGCCUGUUCGAGCGUCAUUUCAACCCAUCAAGCUUCGGCUUGGUCUUGGGGCCUGCGAUUCCGCAGCCUCUAAACCCAGUGGCGGUGCCUCCGAGCUCUGAGCGUAGUAAUUCUUCUCGCUAUAGGGUCUCGGUGGUGUCUUGCCAGUAACCCCCAAUUUUUUACAGGUUGACCUCGGAUCAGGUAGGGAUACCCGCUGAACUUAAGCAUAUCAAUAAGCGGAGGAAAAGAAACCAACAGGGAUUACCUCAGUAACGGCGAGUGAAGCGGUAACAGCUCAAAUUUGAAAUCUGCCGCAAGGCCGAGUUGUAAUUUGUAGAAGAUGCUUUGGGUAUGGCCCCGGUCUAAGUUCGUUGGAACACGACGUCAUAGAGGGUGAGAAUCCCGUAUGUGACUGGGUGCUUUUGCCUAUGUAAAGCUCUUUCGACGAGUCGAGUUGUUUGGGAAUGCAGCUCAAAAUGGGUGGUAUAUUUCAUCUAAAGCUAAAUAUUGGCCAGAGACCGAUAGCGCACAAGUAGAGUGAUCGAAAGAUGAAAAGCACUUUGGAAAGAGAGUUAAACAGUACGUGAAAUUGUUGAAAGGGAAGCGCUUGCAACCAGACUUGCACGCUGUUGAUCAUCCAGGCUUCUGUCUGGUGCACUCGGCAGCGUUCAGGCCAGCAUCGGUUCUGGUGGUGGGAUAAAGGCCUUGGGAAUGUAGCUUCUUUCGGGGAGUGUUAUAGCCCUCGGUGCAAUACCGCCUAUCGGGACCGAGGACCGCGCUUCGGCUAGGAUGCUGGCGUAAUGGUUGUAAGCGACC